ACGUAGGGUGCAAGCGUUAAUCGGAAUUACUGGGCGUAAAGCGUGCGCAGGCGGCUUUGCAAGACAGAUGUGGAAUCCCCGGGCUUAACCUGGGAACUGCAUUUGUGACUGCAUGGCUGGAGUGCGGCAGAGGGGGAUGGAAUUCCGCGUGUAGCAGUGAAAUGCGUAGAUAUGCGGAGGAACACCGGUGGCGAAGGCGGCAUCCUGGACCAAUACUGACGCUGAGGAGCGAAAGCCAGGGGAGCAAACGGGA
rnacentral:rRNA from 1 species